rnacentral:rRNA from 1 species
AUUGAACGCUGGCGGCAGGCUUAACACAUGCAAGUCGAGCGGGGAAAAGUAGCUUGCUACUUAACCUAGCGGCGGACGGGUGAGUAAUGCUUAGGAAUCUGCCUAUUAGUGGGGGACAACAUCUCGAAAGGGAUGCUAAUACCGCAUACGUCCUACGGGAGAAAGCAGGGGACCUUCGGGCCUUGCGCUAAUAGAUGAGCCUAAGUCGGAUUAGCUAGUUGGUGGGGUAAAGGCCUACCAAGGCGACGAUCUGUAGCGGGUCUGAGAGGAUGAUCCGCCACACUGGGACUGGGACACGGCCCAGACUCCUACGGGAGGCAGCAGUGGGGAAUAUUGGACAAUGGGGGGAACCCUGAUCCAGCCAUGCCGCGUGUGUGAAGAAGGCCUUUUGGUUGUAAAGCACUUUAAGCGAGGAGGAGGCUACCGAGAUUAAUACUCUUGGAUAGUGGACGUUACUCGCAGAAUAAGCACCGGCUAACUCUGUGCCAGCCGCCGCUGUAA